UGGCUCGUAGCUCAACUGGCUAGAGCUCCGGUCUCUUAUCCGCCGGCUGGCGGAGUGAGUUCGAGUCUCACCGGGCCAA
rnacentral:tRNA from 1 species